rnacentral:sRNA from 1 species
GCCAGGGUCCUGAGGGCUCUCCCCGCCGGCAGCGGCUGGGCCGUGCUGGAGUGACAGCGUCUGUGCUUGCAGGUGAAGGAGGACUGGAAGUACGUGGCCAUGGUCAUCGACCGCAUCUUCCUCUGGAUGUUCAUCAUCGUCUGCCUGCUGGGGACGGUGGGCCUCUUCCUGCCGCCCUGGCUGGCUGGCAUGAUCUAGGAAGGGACCAGGAGCCUGCGUGGCCUGGGGCUGCCAUGCACGGGGCCAGCAUCCAUGCGGCUGGCCUGGGGCCGGGCUGGCUUCUCCCUGGACUCUGUGGGGCCACACGUUUGCCAAAUUAUCCUUCCUGUUCUGUGUCUGCUGUAAGACGGCCUCUGGGGAGACCGAGUGUGGAGCUGCUUCCAGUUGGUCUGUGGCCCCAGGAGGUAGUGGCUUGGAGCAGAGGUGGGGGUCGGCGCCUUCUACCUGCAGGACUCGGGCUAAGUCCAGUUCAAGAGUCUCCUGAGCUCCCCUGCAGAUGGAACUCACUCCUCCCAGUCUCUCAGCAGAUCUGGUGAUGGUCCCGACCGCCCCAAGGGGCCCUUGAAGGGAGUUCACGCCCCUUCAGCCCCAAGCGCCCCGUCUUCUGGAGGCCCGGCCGCCUCUCCCACCCACCGUGUCCUGCGCCUGUGUGGGCUUCGGCUUCUCCCCCAGGGUCCUCGAGCCUCUCGGACCCCAUGAGGGUGAGCCAGCAGCGCUCCAAUCUGCUUCGCUAGGAGAGGGUCCAGGCAGGGAUUGUGUUUGGUUGUGUUUUGGGUAAGUUAGUGAGAACUCAAGUCUUGUGCCCAAGGAGGCUUGGAGAAC